CUGCACUGCUCAGUGACCAGCUGGCCUUUCCCUGACCUCCUUGGUCUCAUUGCAGUGCAAGAGAAACUCCUCCUAGCAGAAGGGCCAGGCUCUCGCCAUGGUCUGUCUCUUUCGAAAGCUGGGUACAACC
rnacentral:snoRNA from 1 species